rnacentral:lncRNA from 1 species
AAUGGCAGGAGACACCAUGAGAUGUUUUCUACUGUAGAAACUUUCUCAUUAGAAAUAGCCCAUUUAUACAGGGGACUGGCUAAUGUUUUUCUAUGAGUAUCAUUAGCCAGUGUCUCAAAGUGGUGAAGAGACUGCAACCUGGAACAAGGAGAGACAAAGGGAAGGAGGAGUCUGGAGCCAUAUUGAAGAUGAAAUUGAGAUAUGGACUAGGUGGUGGAUCGUUUUUAUAAGAGGACAUAAAAGAGGAUGCUAAAGCUAAUUGCCACAAUCAGAACUCAAAGACCUAGCAAAUGCAAGACACUGGCCACCUCCCUGAACCUGGGCCAAGAUGAGGGUCUACACCUUGGCUUAGUUCUACUAUGAAAGACUUUCCUGCAGUAAAAGUUACCUGUCUGAAACAUUCAGAAGAGUGAAAAUGCCACAUCUCCAAUUUCCAGCAAUAUAUUUGUCUGCCAUGAUUUGGCCUGGAAGCUUAAGCAGGAAGACCACUUGGAGCCAGACUUCAGAGUGAUCUGUCUCUAAGGAAUAACUUUCAUAUUGCAGCGUUCGGUUUUGCAAUUCUUCCUAAGCUACUCUAAAUUCGCAGCAUAAAUCUGCAGAAAGACUUCACCCUCCACAUCAAACCCUUAUAAGGAUCCAUUUCUGCUCUCAUUUUAGAAUAUCUUUUCUAAUAGCUAAAGGCAGACAGAGGCAAACCAAGAAAUCCAGACUUUGCAUCAACGGGUUAAAUCAUAUGUCAAAGGUGCAACCAUAACGUAUUACAAGCUUCUCAUCACAUAAUACAUCACUCAAGAAAAAAUAUUUGGGCAGCUUUUCUAAUUCAUCUUCCUGGUGUUAAAGGAGCACAUCUCCAGUGUUCGUGUCUUCUGUUUCAAUUAAAGCAAUCAUGCCUACUCUUUUAGGAAACUA